rnacentral:rRNA from 1 species
UACGUAGGGGGCAAGGCGUUGUCCGGAUUUAUUGGGCGUAAAGAGCGUGUAGGCGGCCAGGUAGGUCCGCUGUGAAAACUCGAGGCUCAACCUCGAGAUGUCAGCGGAAACCAUCUGGCUAGAGUCCGGAAGAGGAGAGUGGAAUUCCUGGUGUAGCGGUGAAAUGCGCAGAUAUCAGGAAGAACACCCGUGGCGAAGGCGGCUCUCUGGGACGGUACUGACGCUGAGACGCGAAAGCGUGGGGAGCGAACAGG